rnacentral:rRNA from 1 species
AUUGAACGCUGGCGGCAGGCUUAACACAUGCAAGUCGAGCGAGCGGCGGACGGGUGAGUAAUGUCUGGGAAACUGCCUGAUGGCGGGGGAUAACUACUGGAAACGGUAGCUAAUACCGCAUACCAUCGGAUGUGCCCAGAUGGGAUUAGCUAGUAGGUGGGGUAACGGCGCACCAAGGCGACGAUCCCUAGCUGGUCUGAGAGGAUGACCAGCCACACGGGAACGGAGACACGGUCCAGACUCCUACGGGAGGCAGCAGUGGGGAAUAUUGCAAAAUGGGCGGAAGCCUGAUGCAGCCAUGCCGCGUGUAUGAAGAAGGCCUUCGGGUUGUAAAGUACUUUCAGCGGGGAGGCGUUACUCGCAGAAGAAGCACCGGCUAACUCCGUGCCAGCAGCCGCGGUAAUAC